GUGGGGAAUCUUGCGCAAUGGGCGAAAGCCUGACGCAGCCAUGCCGCGUGAAUGAUGAAGGUCUUAGGAUUGUAAAAUUCUUUCACCGGGGACGAUAAUGACGGUACCCGGAGAAGAAGCCCCGGCUAACUUCGUGCCAGCAGCCGCGGUAAUACGAAGGGGGCUAGCGUUGCUCGGAAUUACUGGGCGUAAAGGGCGCGUAGGCGGACAGUUUAGUCAGAGGUGAAAGCCCAGGGCUCAACCUUGGUAUUGCCUUUGAUACUGGCUGUCUUGAGUACGGGAGAGGUGAGUGGAACUCCGAGUGUAGAGGUGAAAUUCGUAGAUAUUCGGAAGAACACCAGUGGCGAAGGCGACUCACUGGCCCGUUACUGACGCUGAGGCGCGAAAGCGUGGGGAGCAAACAGGAUUAGAAACCCUAGUAGUCC
rnacentral:rRNA from 1 species